GCCCCCGUAGCUCAGUGGAUAGAGCGUCGGUUUCCUAAACCGUGCGUCGCAGGUUCGAUUCCUGCCGGGGGCG
rnacentral:tRNA from 4 species